GCCACCCGUCGCCGUGAUGCACUCUCUUUUUCUUAUUAUUUAUUUAUUGUUUUAGCCGUGAUGCAUGCACGCAUGAGCCCGUCUACGCCUCUCGCGCGGGUGUCAUGUGGCCCGACGCACCGCUGCGUGUCGCUCCAUCAAACCUUAUCUUCUCGGCCAGCACAGCUCAUCCUCGUCUCUCCCUCACUCCCUCCCCCCUUCCAGCUAUAGAUGCAGAUGGCAUCGAGGGAGCACGCAAGGAGCCUCGCCACUACAAACGGAUCCGGCUGCCCUUGAUCGUCCCCGACCUCGUCUAUUCCUCCCGUCGCCGGAUUUGACGCCCGCCGGAUCCGUCCAGAUUUGCCGUCGCCGCUCCUCCCCGUGGCCGGAUUUGACGUGUCACCGCCGGAUCCGCCUCCAUCGGACCGGAUCCGGCCGCCCUCGACCGUCCCCGGCCUCGUCUGCUCCUCCUGUCGAGCGAUUUGAUGCGCCGCCUCCGGAUCUGCCUCCACCGGACCGGAUCCGUCCGGAUUCGACUGCCCUCGACCGUCUCCGUUCCCCUUCUAAUUAUCCUCACCUCUGUUUGCUGAUUUUUGUGUUCGCUUGUUGAAUAAUCGAUGUGUACCUAUA